AGCUCAGUUAAAUCCAUAUUGCAUUUAUGCACUUUCCAAAAAAAAAAUGAUACCUGAGACUAUGAGAGACAUAAAAGAACGUAAAACAAGCCUGAACGGAAGCUAUCCACUUAAAUUGAAUAAAUUAGUAAUAGAUUAAGCAAGCAUAAGUUAUUUUAAAUAUGGUGAUUAGAAUGAACGCGUGUCUCAACGCAAACAAAUCCUUUAAUGAUGUAGCGAAUAUGGCACAGGCAAAUAAAUGAAAUACAGUGGCCUCAGAACGCAAUGAGUAGAACAUGAAGUGGAGAAAUGAUAAAAAA